rnacentral:tRNA from 1 species
AACUAAUGAACUUGUAAAAGUAUAUAUUUUGAAAAUAUAAAAAAGAAUAAUUUUCUAUUAGUUU